rnacentral:rRNA from 1 species
AGAGUUUGAUCCUGGCUCAGAACGAACGCUGGCGGCAUGCCUAACACAUGCAAGUCGAACGGUCCUUCGGGACAGUGGCGCACGGGUGAGUAACGCGUGGGGAUCUGCCCAGCAGUGGGGAAUAACGCCGGGAAACUGGCGCUAAUACCGCAUACGCCCUUCGGGGGAAAGAUUUAUCGCUGUUGGAUGAACCCGCGUCCGAUUAGGUAGUUGGCGGGGUAAUGGCCCACCAAGCCUGCGAUCGGUAGCUGGUCUGAGAGGAUGAUCAGCCACACUGGGACUGAGACACGGCCCAGACUCCUACGGGAGGCAGCAGUGGGGAAUAUUGGACAAUGGGCGCAAGCCUGAUCCAGCAAUGCCGCGUGAGUGAUGAAGGCCUUAGGGUUGUAAAGCUCUUUCGCUCGCGACGA